UCCUGUGGUCUCAGGAACCGGGGAAUUCCUGGUCUUCCCAGGCCUUUGGCUGAGACUCCUGCCUGCUCUACUGCUCUACUGCCCGGUUGGGUUAGAUGCCUCGGAAAGAUCCUCUUAAUUCAGAGAACUCGUGACUCCAUGAAAAGAUGAAACCGAGGGGAAGAGAGGUUGACUGACUUGCCCAAGGUCACUCAGCUGGAAAGAGCAGAGCCUGAGUCUGAACCAGCCUCUGGGUUCCCGACUACCACACUGCCUCUGAAGGAAGGUCUCCCCACCCUGCCCCCGGAGGACGAUUCUCGAACUUUCUCCUCAGUAUCACCCGUCAGCACCAGACUGCACUCGUCCUCCUUGAGCCUCAGUGGUGUGUGUUACCUCCCUCUAUCAUGCUGUGGAUUCCUUGAGAGUGGGCUCUGGGACUAAGUACAGCUCUUCAGCCUCCCAUGCUCUCCACGUUCUCCCUCAGGACCUUGCCCAUGAGAUCCCAAGAAGUGCACCCGUGCUCUGAAGAGGCAGACUGAGGCUGUAGGGGCCCGGCCGCCCCUCCCCACAAUGCUUUGGCCGGUCAGCCAGCACCCGAGACAGCAGACCAGCCUGACAGGCCGGCGGAGUAAGUGCUCAAAAGCA